rnacentral:rRNA from 11 species
GAGUGAUCGAAAGAUGAAAAGCACCUGAAAAGAGGGUAAAUAGUACGUGAAAUUGUUGAAAGGGAAGCGCUUGUGACCAGACUUGGGCGCGGCGGAUCAUCCGGGGUUCUCUCCGGUGCACUUCGCCGCGUCUAGGCCAGCAUCAGUUCGUCGCGGGGGAAAAAGGCUUCGGGAACGUGGCUCCUCCGGGAGUGUUAUAGCCCGUUGCAUAAUACCCUGCGGUGGACUGAGGACCGCGCAUCUG